UUUACUUGAAAAUAUGUCAAAUGGAAUAUUAGUACGUAGUAGCGCCCCCUGUAAAAAAAAGUUCACGGAUGUGGCCACUAACAAUGAACGGUUAAUUCCUAAAAAAAAUAAAAAUAAUAAUAAUGAACGGUUAACAAAUACUACCUCCAUCCACAAUUUAAAGCCCUACUUACCCUUAAAUUUUUGUGCGUAAAUUAAAGCCUUAUUAUGUUUUUUGUACUUUUUUACUCUCCUUCUUUCCUAUAUUUACUAUCAUUUACCACUAAUGGACCCACCUUAAAACACAUUUAUUACUUUUAUAUAAUAUAUUUACUACACUUUAUCACUAGUAGACCCACUCACAACACCUUUAUUACUUUAGUCAACUACCCUUAUAUUUCAUUCACAUCACAUUUUUCAGCUUUCUUAGUCUCCGUGCUCAUAUUAAAGUGGGACUUUAAAUUGUAGACGAAAUGAGUAUAUUUUUCAUAAAUUAUGACUAUAAUUUCUUCAUAAUUUACAAAACUACCAUUCAAAUCAAUUUGAAAUCAAUUUCAAAUUGAGAACUCCCUUUUAAUAGAGUAUAAAUAUAUAUAGUUACUUUAACUAAAUUACACAUUUAAUACUUUUGAUUAUGCAAUUUUCGAAUCUGCAUGGAAGUAUGCAUAAAGGAAAUUACUAUAUAUACAAACAUAAUUAUUAUUUUAACCAAAAUUGAUGAUCGAAUAAUGUAUAUAUACAUAUAUUUGAAAAGUUGUCUUACCUGUAGGCUGUAGCCUACCCCUCCCACCGUCCCACGUGUCACAUGGAUAUGGGGAAAUGAUGUGCUGAGUAAUUAAGCCUACACAUUAGACUUUUGAUUCAUGUACUACACACUUUUUUCCUCUAUAUAUAUGUCAUGUUAGCUUUUAUAUUUUCUCAUCCUCGAUCAUAAAACUUUAUCUCUAUAUAUAUAUAUACUUAUCUAUUUAAGUUUAUUUUAUCUUUAUAAAUUAUUAUCUUAUUUUAUUCAAUUAAGAAAUGUGCGAGAUGCUGAAUUGAUUUGAAUUAGUCAGAUAAAUUUUAAGCUUAAGUACAAGGUAUGAGAUUUAUUUAAAUACAUGUCAUAAUUAAUUAUUGUUCAUUUUAAUAUUAUGUGUUUAUUAUAUGUGAGUUAAAUUAUAUCGCUAGGGGCCAACAUAAUUGGUCCAAUAUGUCAAAGUCAUUGGUAUGCCACAAUACAAUUUACAUGUUAAAGUUAUGGUUGCAACCAGUCGCCAAGAGCCAACAUAAUUGGUUCAGGACGGAAAGAUCUUUGGUAUGUCACUGUGCGACUUUCAGUUAUGAAUGUUACAGCAAAUGAUAUGCGUUACCAUUUUAUUAACGUGGUCAAUGAUUGCAUGUUCCCACAUUGAGUAUACAGUGUGUGCUCAUCCCAUAUUUAACAUUUUCAGAUUUCUAAGGUUGGAGACGCGUGGAAGGUCGAAUGGAAAAUCAAAUAUUUUGAAUUUAGUUUUCCCUAAAGAUGUUAUUUUGAGUAAAGUAUUUUAAAUAAAGAUUUAUUUCAUGAUUUUCUCAUUAAAUAUUUAUUUAUAUACAUGAUUUUUCGCAUGAAUUUUCAUUAAAAUUUUAGUAAGAUUUGGGUGUCUGAUCGCUAAUUUAUUAGCAACAAAAUCGCAACUAUAACGGUGUAAUUGUAGCAACAAAUAGCAAGUAGAGUAUCAUAUCCAUGAGGACUGAUAAACGAAAUUACUCUAAAUAAUCCUAAAGAGAACUCUAACAAUAUUCAGGCAACUCUCAAGAUCAAUAAAUUAAUUAAAACUAAACUUUAGAACAAAGCAAAUAAAAUGCAGGUAUAAAACCAGAUAAUAAAACGAUUGAUCCUAGGGAAGUAAAUUCAUUAAUUAAAUCCACAUAAUCAACCUACUAAUCAUAAUUACUAGUUUAAUCCAUGUGACAGCCCGAAAUCAAAUUAUUUAUCUAAAAUUAUUUAUUUUAAAUUGUUUUAGAUUUCAAUUAUUUCGAAGCAUUUAAAUUGUGAAGCUAUUAAAAAUUUUAUUUUAUGUUAAGCUCACGAAAUGUCUAGUCGCGCCAUUAGUUAAAUAAAUAAAUUUGAGGAUCAUAUCUUUAGAAAUAAAAAUUUAUAUUUUCAAAUAUCUAAUUCAAUUUUAGAUCAUAAAUAAAUAUUUAUAUAAAUUUGUAUAUUGGGCCUUACAUGUAAUUUGACGAUGAAUAAAUGUUUUCUUUAUAAUUUUGUAUGUUAGACUUUGAAUAAAAUAUUUGCAUAGUUUAUAUUUUGGGCCUCAUAAAAAGAAAAUUUGAAUGUCCAACCUGAUUCUAUCUGAUCAGCAUCAACCCAUAUGAUAUUUAUAAUUUUAAUUCUGAUAUUGAAGAAAAGAGUUUAAGUGUUAUAUUCUACUCCAGCCACCUAUUCCCAAUUCAGCCACGUAUCAUCAAAUCAUUCAAUAUAUUUAAUUCUCUCCCCAGCAUUUAUCAAUUGAUCAGCAAAUUUCUCGUUUCAUUCGGUUCAAUUUCCUCUACAGAACUGCAAUCGGUGCGGCGCGACUAAGACGUGAUGGUGAUUUAAAUUGCUCAAGUUAGCAUUCAAGUUGAAGUUGAGGUUUAAAUUCAGGUGUGGGAAUUUAUUUAAAUACAUGCUGUAGUUAAUUGUUGUCCAUUUUAAUAUUAUGUGUUUACCAUAUGUGUUAUGAAUUACACUAAUCGCUAGGGGCACGUAAAUAGGGUCCAUGACGUCACAGUCAUUGGAUUGCCACAAUGCGAUUUGAGGUUAUGUAUCGCUAGGGGCCCGUAAAUAGGGUCCAGGACGGAAAGGUCUUUGGAUUGUCACGAUGCGAUUACAUGUUACAGGGUUGCAACCAUUAUAUUGAGGAUGUCGCCAGGGGCCCGUAAAUAGGGUCCGGGACUUUAAAGUCCUUGGAUUGCCACAGUGCGCAUAUUGAGGAUAUGUAUGAAAUGGCCGUUUUAACGGUCGGAGGCACGUGGAGGGUCGAAUGGGCGCGUCGAAUCCUUUUGAAUCAAAAGAAAUUAUCUUCUUUUGAACUUGUACAAUAUCAAAUACUUUUGUUUAGCAAUAGUUUUGGAUAUUCAAAUUGUCUUCCAGACCACGUUUGACUUAGUAUACGUUAUAAUAUCGUUAUGUUGUGUCUAUGUCAUGGUUUGGUAGUCAUAAAUUCAAGUUUUGGUUUGGAGUAUUUUAUUUAAUAGUUUAUCUUUUUCGAAAAUGAUUUUGAAAUGAUCGAAAUUUCUUACUUUUGAA